AUUGAACGUUGGCGGCAGGCUUAAAACAUGCAAGUCGAACGGUAACGCGGGGCAACCUGGCGACGAGUGGCGGACGGGUGAGUAACACGUAGGAAUCUGCCCAUUAGUGAGGGAUAACCCGGGGAAACUCGGGCUAAUACCGCAUACGCCCUACGGGGGAAAGCGGGGGAUCUUCGGACCUCGCGCUAUUGGAGGAGCCUGCGUCGGAUUAGCUAGUUGGUGGGGUAAAGGCCUACCAAGGCGACGAUCCGUAGCUGGUCUGAGAGGACGACCAGCCACACUGGGACUGAGACACGGCCCAGACUCCUACGGGAGGCAGCAGUUAGGAAUCUUGGGCAAUGGGGGCAACCCUGACCCAGCCAUGCCGCGUGUGUGAAGAAGGCCUUCGGGUUGUAAAGCACUUUCAAGGGUGAAGAAAGGCCUGAGGCGAAUACCCUCGGGUGUUGACGUUAGCUCUAGAAGAAGUACCGGCUAACUCCGUGCCAGCAGCCGCGGUAACAC
rnacentral:rRNA from 1 species